CCUACGGGUGACAGCAGUGAGGAAUAUUGGUCAAUGGACGAGAGUCUGAACCAGCCAAGUAGCGUGAAGGAUGACUGCCCUAUGGGUUGUAAACUUCUUUUAUAUGGGAAUAAAACGUUCCACGUGUGGGAUUUUGUAUGUACCAUAUGAAUAAGGAUCGGCUAACUCCGUGCCAGCAGCCGCGGUAAUACGGAGGAUCCGAGCGUUAUCCGGAUUUAUUGGGUUUAAAGGGUGCGUAGGUGGAUUGUUAAGUCAGUUGUGAAAGUUUGCGGCUCAACCGUAAAAUUGCAGUUGAAACUGGCAGUCUUGAGUACAGUAGAGGUGUGCGGAAUUCGUGGUGUAGCGGUGAAAUGCUUAGAUAUCACGAAGAACUCCGAUUGCGAAGGCAGUUCACUGGACUGCAACUGACACUGAGGCUCGAAAGUGUGGGUAUCAAACAGGAUUAGAUACCCCUGUAGUC
rnacentral:rRNA from 1 species